ACUUGUCAGGCUUGACUUUCCUUGUUGACGCAAUACACGGAGGGGAUGUGCCGCAACACUGCAGCUAAAGCAGGGAGGAUGUAGGCACUUGCACAGCCAUACCAGUGACAAAUGUAAUGGCUGCACCGCUUGUUUGGGUGGAACAAAAGCAGGGGGAUGUGGGCACUUGCACAGCCAUACCAGUGACAUGUAAUGGCUGCACCGCUUGUUUGGGUGGUUCAUGAAUAACAACAUAAUGAAGUUAAAUAAACGCAAAUUUUUGUGAAAGGAGGAGCAAAGGGAUUUACGUUGUAGCAUUGUUUGAGUGACCACUAUGUGUAUUAAGUACAGAAGUGACUUAUACUAGAAGCACCGCAGGAUAGCAAAGCUGCGUUAAAAAGACACUUAGUGUUGACAAACUUGUCUUGCAGGAAAGAUAAGGAACGGUGCAAACGAAAGCAGGAGCUAGACUAGAGGAAUAAUGGCAGAGGUGACGCAGCAAGAUGGUGAGGAAGACAGCAGAGGAGAAUAUGACUGGGGCAGGAGGUGGUUAGUUAAAGCAAGCACAGGGCCAGUGUAGUGAAGGCCUCUGCUCUCACCAGCACUGUCAGCUAAGGCCACAGAGGUCACUGGUCGGGUUUUUUAGUGUUUCUCCUGUCAGUAAUGUAAAAAAAAAAAAAAAUGUUAAUCUGUCACUAGAAGCGUCAAAACCUCCUUAGUAGCCCGUCUCACUUGAAGCAGAGCCUUGUGGCUGUAGUGGUGGUGCGGUGCAGAAAGGCUGCACAACACUAGCUUGCGUAGAGGCGAGAGGCGAUGGAACGCUUCAUUGUGGAAUGGUGUAGAUGUGAGCGACACAGAGGCACACUUUUAGAGAGGCAAUUCUGGGAGCCACAGGUGAACCAGCGUGGUGGUGGCAGACCACACCAGACAAAGGAGGAGGUGCUUACACACAGAGGCACGCUGGCAGUGCUGCCAGUGUGUCGUGGCAAGGAAGAAAGGGAAGGGACCCUAAAAGAGAUGAAAAAGUCCCUUGUGCACGCCUGGGAAGUACGCCUGAGGGAGUUUAGGUGUUAAAUUAGAGGAGACAUGUCGACUCUGUGCUCUCUAGCGGCUGACCUGCGGAAGACGUCACGAGAACAACAAGAUCAAGAUUAAGAACAUCGUCAUUGUUGCCUUGUUUACCUUUGUCACAGUGGUCCUCCUCCUGCUGUCCGUGUGUCUGUGUGUGUGUGUCUUUUGAAGGCACCUCUCAGGUCGCUGCUGUCUCCUCUGCCUGGUGAGUGGGGGCUCUCUCUCUCUCUCUCUCUCUCUCUCUCUCUCUCUCUCUCUCUCUCUCUCUCUCUCUCUCCUUCCUUGGGCUCUUUUCCCGUAUCUCCUCCUCCUCCUCCCCCUCCUCUUCUUGUUUGUUUGGUCAGUCUUUCCUUGCCAUCCAACUCUCUCUCUUGUAUCCUCCCCACAGUAGCAGAAUAGGAGAGCAUCUAGCUCUCGUUCCCACAGUCAACAACGGCCCACCCUUGAGAGGAGUUGGACGUAUGGUCAGGAGGCAGACACAUGGAAGAGACUGGGUGGCAGGGAAGUGAAAUGUGUGGGACUGAAUGAAUGGAAGAAUGAGAUAGAAAGAAAGAAGACCUUGGAAUGGUACAAGGAGAAAGAGGCCCCGAGGUAUGAAAGGUGGUAUGAUGGAAGCCUGGGCGGUGAUCUUCUCUUCCGAGCGAGGGCACAGUGUAUGGAUGUGAAUGCAAGGAGUUACAGGUGGUCUGAGUCCCGCAGCAAAGUGUGCCAGAUGUGUGACAUGGGAGAGGAUGAGACGGUGGAACAUGUGGUGCUGGAGUGUGUGAAGUAUGCCAGAGACAGGAAUGAGAUGAUGCAAGUGAUACUGACUGAGUUAGGGCAUGAUAGGAAUGAAAGAGUGGAGAAGACAGGAAAGGAAUGGAUGGUGUUGGUGCUGGGACUGUGUAGAGAGGCGAAUGAAAGGAUGAUUGAGGCGGUGAAAGAGUUUCUGGAGAGAAUGUGGCGUGCCAGGUGUAUGAACAAUUAGGAUAGAGGAUGCUGUUCGUUUCUCUUUUUUUCCCCUUUCUACAGGAGUUGCCGAUCCAAAGGCCUGGCUCAGGAGUAAUCCUGUGCCACCUGCACCAUCAAGAUCAAGAUCGAGAGAGAGAGAAAAAGAGAGGCCAUGUUUGAGCUAGUUCACUUAUCUGUGGUUCCUCUCCCCCUCUCUCUCUCUCUAAUUAGAGCGAAAAUGGCAGCGGAGGAGCUCAAGGAUGAAGCCAACGACUAUUUGAAAAAAUUAAGAAAAUUGAAGGCUUCUCUCAGACAUGAACAAAGAAGAGCAAUUCUUGACAAACAGGCAAACAAACAAACAAACAAACAAGGACAGCGUUGAGUCUCGCAGGUCACACCAGCCUCUCGGAAACUUGCUUGCUUCACCUGGCAAUUGUGAACCACCAAGCAAAAACCGAGCCACCCUAUUGGUCGACAGGGGAUCACCAUCAACCCUCCCAUUGGCCCAGAGCUUCGUGGAUUGUGAUUGGACGGCUGGCUAGCUGACCUGACUUGACCUGACCUCAACUGAGCCAACAUGAUUUACGUUUUCCUUGUUGACACUGGCACCACGAUGACCUUUGACAUGAACCUGGCACUAGAGAGUGUUGAGGUGGUGAAGGGUGCAAUACACAAUGUUGUCAAGAUGCCCCCAGACAAGCAGGUGCUGCUGGCCUCUGAGGGUGAAACACUGGACUCCUGCAAGCGGGUUUGUCAUUACUCGGCCGGCACAGACACGUCCCCCAUCUUUUUGUUCUCCAAGGUGGCCAUUGAGGGAGCAGCCCCGCAACCCCCUCUGUGCAGCCUGGCAGGGAUGGCGAUCUCAGGGCACAGGUGGAGGGGCGCCUCAACAUGCCAGCCACUUACAACAGUGUGGUGGCGCAGACACAGUUAGCACAGCAGUUUUACGAGCACGCCAGUGAGGUCACCAGAACGUGCCGCCAACUUGUUCACAACCAGCAUCUGCAGCAACAAGGCUGGGCAGUAGUGGUGGCCAACUUGGAAGACGUGGCAGCCUUCAGAGCAAGACAUGAUGCAUUCCAGCAAAACUUUGUAAUCUCAGUGGCCGGGAGGAGAAGGUCGCCCUGCUUCAGUUUUUUGAAGAGGACCUGAAGCUACUGGCAAGGAUUCCAGUCUUCCCUGAACUCUUGGGAAAGACACAAGAGGAAGAGGAAGAGGAGGUAGCUGAGAAGAAGAGGACAAGCACAGCACAGAAGAAAGAGGAGGAGGAAGAGAAGGAAGAGGAGGAGGAGGAGGAGGAAGAAGAGGAAGAGCAUGAGGAGAAGAGAGCAGGAGGAGGAGGAAAAGCAGGAGGAGAAGGAAGAAAAAGAGAAAUGAGUUAAGUGUCACUGCUGGACUGGAUCAGCGCCAAGGACAGCCAAAGUGACGUCAGACAUUGCCCAACUCUGCUGCAGAGGACUGGCCCAGCUGUGUGUGUGUGUGUGUGUGUGCACCAGGGUGUCAGGGUGUCAGGUAUUCACACCCAAUUCUUGCUGCAUAAUUGUGUUUCUGCAGGAUUGAAUCAAGUUUGUAAUCUUGCGUUGUUUAACGAGUUCUCAAAUUUGUCUUUAAUCUGGCUCCCCCUCCCCCUGUGUUAGAAUAUUGCAUGUUUCCAAGGCCACAGGGACGCUUAGACAGGUUCUCAAGUGUUUCCUGUUACUAAUGCAGAAAUGUUGUUAAUCCGUCACUGCAACUGUAAAAACACCCUUGAAAACCUGCAUCACUUCAACUAAAGCCUUAUAAAAGAAUGUUUCUCCUGUCAGUACCGCAGAAAUGUUGUUAAUCUGUCACUGCAACUGUAAAAACACCCUUGAAAACCCGAGUCACUUCAACUACAGCCUUUUAAAAGAAUGUUUCUCCUGUCAGUACUGCAGAAAUAUUGUUAAUCUGUCACUGUAACUGUAAAAACACCCUUGAAAAUCUGCAUCACUUCAACUACAGUCUUUUAAAAGUGUUUCUCCUGUCAGUAACGCAAAAAUGUUAAUAUGUCACUGCAACUGUAAAAACACUCUUGAAAACCCACGUCACUUUAACUAGAGCCUUUUAAAAGAAUUGUUCUCCUGUGAGUAAUGCAGAAAUGUUAAUCUGUCACUGCAAAUGUAAAAACACCCUUGAAAACCUGCAUCAUUUCAGCUACAGCCUUUUAAAAGAAUGUUUCCCCUGUCAGUAAUGCAGAAAUGUUGUUAAUCUCACUACAACUGUAAAAACACCCUUGAAAACCCACUUCACUUGAACUAAAAACACACACACACACACACAAACACACAGCACUAGUACUGCUGUUGCCACACAGAUCAGUGAGGGGCUGCUGGAACAAGUGGGGCAAGAGGUCAGUGCUGUGCUUCAAGAGGCAGACCAGCCACAGAUGAAUGCUUGACUCACCAUACUCAUCAUCAACCUGUGUCCUGUACUUUGUGUAUAAUAUCUUUGAGUCUUGAAUCUAAUACACUCCUCACUGUUCACUUGUACAUGUUGAGCCUCACUACAUUCACGCAGGUCGGAACAAAAUUAAGUUUGUCCAUUUUGUGUGUCCAUUCUUUAUUGUGGCCAUUGUACAAGAUGCAACAUUUGUGUAUGUGUGUGUGUGUGUGAGGGGGUCACUUAUUGGUGAGUCACUGUGGGUUUGUAAACAUACUGUGGGGGGACAUACUGUGGCACUGUGGGCUGAGGUGAGGUGAGAGAGAGAGAGAGAGAAAGGGGGGACAGCAUCAGUGAAACAAAGCAGAUGUUGUUGAUUGUUGAUGAUGCAGGGGAGAGGUGGUGUUAUUCAGUGUCCUUCAUUGCACAAGAUGUUGUUGUUAUUGAUUGGCAACCAAGCCUGGCUGGCGUGGGCCUUGUCAUGUGGCCCACAGGUAAUUCUUAGUGGUCAGUCUAUUGGUGAGUACAGCUGAGCGCUGCCUGAUUGCACGAGAGGUAUUGUUCAUAGUUGUUCAUUGUAGGUGAGGGAAGACACAGUAUGUUGAGGGAAGGCAGCAGCUGUGGAGGAGUGAACAGCUGCACCACUGACAGCAGCAGCAGCAGCAGCAGAGCCCCACCACUGUUGAAUACUUCUACUACCACUACUAACUACUGCUGAUGUUUUUCUCCUUCUCCCAGCACAGCAGCAGACUCGGGUACUGUUACAGCUCUGCUCCCUCCUACAGGACACGUUCCCAUCACCUUCACGUCCUGGACACGUGCACAAACUUGUGCCUGGGCAGUCUCACUGCAGCAACUGCCAGUGCUGUGGCUGGGUGGCAGGAGGGAGGGACAAGCUGGCCACCCUCUCUGUCACCACCUGCUGGGGAAAGACCACCAUUAUCAUCAUCUUUGUUUUCCUUUUUUUUUUUUUUUUUUUUUUUUUUCUUCACAGUUUACAAGGAAUAUUAACAGUUUGUUUUUAAUGUCUGUUUGUUAUUAAAUGAUGUGUUGAUUGUGUUGUUGUUUAUAUGUUAGGUGUUGUUGUCUUUUGUAUGUGUGACUGAUGAAUAAAGGCAGUCCACACUUA